GACGAACGCUGGCGGCGUGCUUAACACAUGCAGUCAAAAGAAAGUGGCGAACGGGUGAGUAAUACGUGGGUAACCUGCCCUCUUUUUGGGAUAAGCCUUGGAAACGGGGUCUAAUACCGAACAAAGGGGGAUGGGCUCGUGGUCUAGCAGCUUGUUGGUUGGGGGAUGGUCUACCAAGGCGGUGACGGGUAGCCGGCCUGAGAGGGGGACCGUCCGCGUUGGAGCUGGGAUACGGGCCAGACGCCUACGAGAGGCAGCAGUGGGGGAUGUUGCAGAAUGGGCGGAAGCCUGAUGCCGCGACGCCGUGUGGGGAGUGGAGGCUUGCGGUUUGUAAACCUCUUUCGCUAGCGAACGGGGAGGUGGAGAACAAGCGCCGGCUAACUACGUGCCAGCAGCCGCGGUAAUUC
rnacentral:rRNA from 1 species